rnacentral:piRNA from 1 species
UCUACAUCCAGCUCAUGCCUCACGGUGACCU